rnacentral:rRNA from 1 species
GGGUUGUGAGGUUAAGCGACUAAGCGUACACGGUGGAUGCCCUGGCAGUCAGAGGCGAUGAAGGACGUGCUAAUCUGCGAUAAGCGUCGGUAAGGUGAUAUGAACCGUUAUAACCGGCGAUUUCCGAAUGGGGAAACCCAGUGUGUUUCGACACACUAUCAUUAACUGAAUCCAUAGGUUAAUGAGGCGAACCGGGGGAACUGAAACAUCUAAGUACCCCGAGGAAAAGAAAUCAACCGAGAUUCCCCCAGUAGCGGCGAGCGAACGGGGAGCAGCCCAGAGCCUGAAUCAGUGUGUGUGUUAGUGGAAGCGUCUGGAAAGGCGCGCGAUACAGGGUGACAGCCCCGUACACAAAAAUGCACAUGCUGUGAGCUCGAUGAGUAGGGCGGGACACGUGGUAUCCUGUCUGAAUAUGGGGGGACCAUCCUCCAAGGCUAAAUACUCCUGACUGACCGAUAGUGAACCAGUACCGUGAGGGAAAGGCGAAAAGAACCCCGGCGAGGGGAGUGAAAAAGAACCUGAAACCGUGUACGUACAAGCAGUGGGAGCACGCUUAGGCGUGUGACUGCGUACCUUUUGUAUAAUGGGUCAGCGACUUAUAUUCUGUAGCAAGGUUAACCGAAUAGGGGAGCCGAAGGGAAACCGAGUCUUAACUGGGCGUUAAGUUGCAGGGUAUAGACCCGAAACCCGGUGAUCUAGCCAUGGGCAGGUUGAAGGUUGGGUAACACUAACUGGAGGACCGAACCGACUAAUGUUGAAAAAUUAGCGGAUGACUUGUGGCUGGGGGUGAAAGGCCAAUCAAACCGGGAGAUAGCUGGUUCUCCCCGAAAGCUAUUUAGGUAGCGCCUCGUGAAUUCAUCUCCGGGGGUAGAGCACUGUUUCGGCAAGGGGGUCAUCCCGACUUACCAACCCGAUGCAAACUGCGAAUACCGGAGAAUGUUAUCACGGGAGACACACGGCGGGUGCUAACGUCCGUCGUGAAGAGGGAAACAACCCAGACCGCCAGCUAAGGUCCCAAAGUCAUGGUUAAGUGGGAAACGAUGUGGGAAGGCCCAGACAGCCAGGAUGUUGGCUUAGAAGCAGCCAUCAUUUAAAGAAAGCGUAAUAGCUCACUGGUCGAGUCGGCCUGCGCGGAAGAUGUAACGGGGCUAAACCAUGCACCGAAGCUGCGGCAGCGACGCUGAUGCGUUGUUGGGUAGGGGAGCGUUCUGUAAGCCUGCGAAGGUGUGCUGUGAGGCAUGCUGGAGGUAUCAGAAGUGCGAAUGCUGACAUAAGUAACGAUAAAGCGGGUGAAAAGCCCGCUCGCCGGAAGACCAAGGGUUCCUGUCCAACGUUAAUCGGGGCAGGGUGAGUCGACCCCUAAGGCGAGGCCGAAAGGCGUAGUCGAUGGGAAACAGGUUAAUAUUCCUGUACUUGGUGUUACUGCGAAGGGGGGACGGAGAAGGCUAUGUUGGCCGGGCGACGGUUGUCCCGGUUUAAGCGUGUAGGCUGGUUUUCCAGGCAAAUCCGGAAAAUCAAGGCUGAGGCGUGAUGACGAGGCACUACGGUGCUGAAGCAACAAAUGCCCUGCUUCCAGGAAAAGCCUCUAAGCAUCAGGUAACAUCAAAUCGUACCCCAAACCGACACAGGUGGUCAGGUAGAGAAUACCAAGGCGCUUGAGAGAACUCGGGUGAAGGAACUAGGCAAAAUGGUGCCGUAACUUCGGGAGAAGGCACGCUGAUAUGUAGGUGAGGUCCCUCGCGGAUGGAGCUGAAAUCAGUCGAAGAUACCAGCUGGCUGCAACUGUUUAUUAAAAACACAGCACUGUGCAAACACGAAAGUGGACGUAUACGGUGUGACGCCUGCCCGGUGCCGGAAGGUUAAUUGAUGGGGUUAGCCGCAAGGCGAAGCUCUUGAUCGAAGCCCCGGUAAACGGCGGCCGUAACUAUAACGGUCCUAAGGUAGCGAAAUUCCUUGUCGGGUAAGUUCCGACCUGCACGAAUGGCGUAAUGAUGGCCAGGCUGUCUCCACCCGAGACUCAGUGAAAUUGAACUCGCUGUGAAGAUGCAGUGUACCCGCGGCAAGACGGAAAGACCCCGUGAACCUUUACUAUAGCUUGACACUGAACAUUGAGCCUUGAUGUGUAGGAUAGGUGGGAGGCUUAGAAGUGUGGACGCCAGUCUGCAUGGAGCCGACCUUGAAAUACCACCCUUUAAUGUUUGAUGUUCUAACGUUGACCCGUAAUCCGGGUUGCGGACAGUGUCUGGUGGGUAGUUUGACUGGGGCGGUCUCCUCCUAAAGAGUAACGGAGGAGCACGAAGGUUGGCUAAUCCUGGUCGGACAUCAGGAGGUUAGUGCAAUGGCAUAAGCCAGCUUGACUGCGAGCGUGACGGCGCGAGCAGGUGCGAAAGCAGGUCAUAGUGAUCCGGUGGUUCUGAAUGGAAGGGCCAUCGCUCAACGGAUAAAAGGUACUCCGGGGAUAACAGGCUGAUACCGCCCAAGAGUUCAUAUCGACGGCGGUGUUUGGCACCUCGAUGUCGGCUCAUCACAUCCUGGGGCUGAAGUAGGUCCCAAGGGUAUGGCUGUUCGCCAUUUAAAGUGGUACGCGAGCUGGGUUUAGAACGUCGUGAGACAGUUCGGUCCCUAUCUGCCGUGGGCGCUGGAGAACUGAGGGGGGCUGCUCCUAGUACGAGAGGACCGGAGUGGACGCAUCACUGGUGUUCGGGUUGUCAUGCCAAUGGCACUGCCCGGUAGCUAAAUGCGGAAGAGAUAAGUGCUGAAAGCAUCUAAGCACGAAACUUGCCCCGAGAUGAGUUCUCCCUGACUCCUUGAGAGUCCUGAAGGAACGUUGAAGACGACGACGUUGAUAGGCCGGGUGUGUAAGCGCAGCGAUGCGUUGAGCUAACCGGUACUAAUGAACCGUGAGGCUUAACCUUACAACGCCGAAGCUGUU